UGAUGAUAAUUAUAAUGAUGAUGAUGAUGAUGACGAUAAUUAUAAUGAUGAUGAUGAUGCUACUGCUGCUGA